rnacentral:lncRNA from 1 species
UAAUUUAAUCCUUUAAUCAUUCCUGCAUCCUGAAUAUAUUCAUGAGUAUGAAAUUAUGUCAAACUCAAAACAUAUAUUCAUAUCGAUUCUCAAUUAACCAAUGAUGACUCCGAUAAAGAAGUAUUAGAAAUUUUUUCUAAUCUCUUUCCUACUGUUGAUCAAAAGACUUUUCUCGAGUCAUCUAGAGAUGAGAAUACACAGGAUGCGAUCUUCUCUUACUAGGAGCCAUC